GAUGAACGCUGGCGGCGUGCCUUAGGUAUGCAAGUCGAACGAUACGUCCCUGUCGCAAGACAGGGGUCAAACGUAUAGUGGCAAACGGGUGAGUAACACGUAGGUAACCUACCUCGUACACGGGAAUAACUCGCCGAAAGGCGGGCUAAUACCCGAUGGCCUCUGAUGUUGCAAUACGUCAGAGUAAAGAUUUAUCGGUACGAGAUGGGCCUGCGGCCUAUCAGCUAGUUGGUGAGGUAAUGGCUCACCAAGGCGACGACGGGUAGCUGGUCUUAGCGGACGGACAGCCACACUGGAACUGCGACACGGUCCAGACUCCUACGGGAGGCAGCAGUCGAGAGGCUUCGGCAAUGGGGGAAACCCUGACCGAGCGACGCCGCGUGAGGGAUGAAGGCCCUUGGGUUGUAAACCUCUUUUGUUCGGGAAGAAGUGCGAUCAGGUGAAUAAUCUGGUCGUUUGACGGUACCGGACGAAUAAGCUCCGGCUAACUCCGUGCCAGCAGCCGCGGUAAUUCUCG
rnacentral:rRNA from 1 species